GAUACCACACGGUUCCACCACCCUCUGGCAAGUCGCGACAAUGGAUGCCGCUCCACUCCCCGCAACAGACUCCACGUGGCACAUCCCGGUGAUGGCCACGAUCCCACUCCAUUACUCUCCGCAAUAAACUUCUCUUGACCCUGGGCAGCCCACUACCAGAUGGUUACAGACAUCGCUAUCAGUCUGUUGCCCCCUCCACCUAUAAAAAGGGGACCCC
rnacentral:lncRNA from 1 species